rnacentral:lncRNA from 1 species
AUGAGAGGAAAACAGGCAGCAGGAAGAUUCCACAGCGGCUGCUCUCUGGUUAGCUCCAGUGAAGUCAUCAGCACCGGGAAAGCAGGGAAACUAGCUAAGGAAUUCACCAAAACCCAGCUCCAGGCCUUGCAGCCUCACAGUAGAGAGAACAACUGCAGCUCCACCUGGCCCUGCCCGCAGAGGCAGUGGAAUGUGUUUGUGUCCAUUUUACAUUUGAAAAAGGAAAAUAUAUAUUUUGGCAUCAUCCUUGAAUGGCAUGAACAAUCCCUUGUGAAGAAGCCCCAGUGCCCUCCCAUGAGUCCGGACCACCACCAGCACCAAAGACCUUGCCGGAGAAUCUGAACUUCGAGUCAGCUGAAAUGUUAAAUGGGCCUUUUUGCUAUGAAAACAUCCCCCGUUUCGACUUAAAUGUAGUGAUGAGUAGCACUGGAAUGAGGUUUUUGUUCACCAAAAGUUUCUCCCAGAAUAGAAACUGACCCAAGUAUUUUUCUUGGGAAGUACAUCUAUCUGGCAAUGGUCACUGUUGACAUUUUAAGCUAAUGCACUCUGGUAUGCAAAGUUGAGCCCAAAAAGCAAAGAUCUGUUUGCCAUUUUGUGUGUGUGUGUGUGUGUGUGUGUGUGUGUGUGUGUGUUUUUACCCAAACUCUGCCAACUGGGGUAUAAAGACACCCUUACUAGUCAAAUGCACUGGACUCUUUGCUUGUAAAUUCCUAAAACUCCCGGGUCGGUUUGGCAUUGUGGCCUUCAAGCUGGGGCAAGUGGCCCAAAGCCUUUCUUAUCCUUCUCUCUGGCAUUUGCGCCCUCCAGCAAAAGAAAAAAUAGGACAGUGUUCUUUGCGUGAGGAUAGAGUUUCACAUGCUCUGGUCUCUUCAGAGGGGCACCACUCCACAGAUGAAAAACAGCCAGCAAAAAAUUAAGCAGCCGGCCCCUCUGUCAAUCCAGGUUCUGGGGUCUGGGUCUUAAAACACAGCACCUGUUGCAAGUAAGCAGUUGCAAUGGGCCUGCAGCUGUGGGUGCUGUUAUGCAGCCAGCUCGUAGCAACAACACAGCAAUCCUUGUCAGUCUGACACGUGAGGAUGGCUUAAUAAAUGCAUUUUGUCACAGCUCCUGCUGCCCCCCAGAAAGAAACCCUGCACAAUUUAACAGGAUCACUACAAGUCAUCACAGAGAAACACUCAUUUGACUGGGUCGGUUAGCCUCUUGGACACCUUUCUACUAGGUUUCUAUGGUUACCAUGUUCAUUAUUUUUGUAGAACAAAAGACCAAUUCACAAUCUGCAAACCACAAUCUCCAUCAGAUGCUGCAAACCCAAUCCCCCACCCUUCCUGCUUUCCUCUGGCAUCAGUAACCAGGAUGAUAGGAAUGUGCCCUGGAAUGUAAUCACUAAGCAUUUAGGCACUUCACAUUCUCUGUCCUUCCCGGGGAGAAGCCUGCAAGCACAGAGACAGGCAGGGAUCCCAGGAUGGAGGGGGCUGGAGAGGGGCAAGGUGUUGAUAUCACACCCAGAUCCAUGGUAAUACUCAUAUGUUCAUCUUGGCUUGGGAUCCAGAGUAAUUAUUUUUUAAUCCUAUCUACCACUGUUGACACUUUGGCUAGAUUGCUUUUCAGAUGAAAAAGUUUUAUUAAAUAAUUGCUUCUAGAAAAUAAUUUUCAAACCAGUUCUGUGCAUGUCGUGAUCAAAUUCAGGAUAACAUUGCAAACAGACCAUGAAUCCCUAAAAAGAUUUGGAGUGUGUAUUAUUAUCCGUGUCUCAUCUGCCACUUCAAUGCAGACGUGGAAAAUCUUGGGCAGUGGCCCUUUUGUCAGAAAGAACCAAAUGGUACCGCCCUGCUGGACAUGAUCCCGGCGGCAGCCCCCCCAGGCUCAUGACUAAUUCAAAACACCAAAUGACACCCCAGCAUCCAGAAUGGCAGGACCUCUGCUCUACUGCCUGGACCCUCCACCAGAUGCCCCCUUCUGUGGCCUCCGCUUUGUCAGAGACAUGCUGUGUAGAGCAGGGAACAGGCAGCCUUGACAUCCUUACAAAGCACUCUUGUUGGUAUUGUUCCUAUUAUUUUAUGAAUAUAAACACUCACGCCUGUAAUCCCAGCACUUUGGGAGGCAGAGACGGGCGGAUCACGAGGUCAAGAGAUCGACACCAUUGUGACCAACAUGGUAAAACCCUGUCUCUACUAAAAAUACAAAAAAAUUAGCUGGGUGUGGUGGCACACACCUAUAGUCUCAGCUACUCAGGAGGCUGAGGCAGGAGAAUCACUUGAACUCGGGAGGCGGAGGUUGCAGUGAGCUGAGAUCGCGCCACUGACUCCAGCCUGGCAACAGAGCAAGACUUCGUCAAAAAAAAUAAAAAAGGGCACUAAAAGGGCACUGUCUUUUUAAUUAAAGUUGUUCUCUCUCCCCUGUGUCUUCAGUUCUAUAUAGAAAAAACGGCAUCUUUUAUUAUGCUCUGAAGUCUCUGUUUUAGUUUACUCUGACAAAGCUGUUGCUCAGAGCAAAAGUCAGCGUCACCCAGCCAUAACACACAUUGUCUAUACCAGCAGGGCAAGGGUGAAAUAAUCCAGGGAUUGUCCCCAAGUCUUUUCUCACAUGACGGAUGGUUGGCCCAGGGCCUGAUGAUAACAAGAGCUACGACAAGCAGGAGUAUUACGAGAUGAAGGGAGAUUUGGGAUGAUGUUUGAUCUUUGAAGGUCAACCUUCCUGCGUACGAGGCCGAAGUCAAGCUGACGUCUCUAAGCUCCUCUCCUGGUUUUGAGCAAGCAUGUUCCAGGAAGCUGAUUGUUAUUUUGGCAAGUGACUCUUUAUCAUGAUGCAUUUCGGGGGAGUUGGGGGUCAGGUUUCCUGUUGCAGGGAGUUCUGAUAGUUCCUGAUAUUUACAUAAAUAGGCCUUCAACGAUUGAUGAAAAAUGUAAUGUGGAAAGGUGAAUUUCAACCCUAUGUGGUUGAAACUCCACAAAAAGAAUAUAUAGAGAUUAAAAGCUGGGGAGAAUGCAGUCUAUAUAUUACAAGGAUUCUUUGAAUCCAUGCACAGAAAUUUGUUGUCUCCAUUUUUCUUCCACACAGAACACUUAAAGUUCAAAAGUCAGGAGAGGCAACUUUCAUGCUGAGAGAUGAGCUCUCCGUGACAUCUCACUGAAAUAGUUAGGAUUUAUCCUGCAGCCGCAAAUCAGAGUCAUGCAUUACUUCUUUCCGAAAAACAAAUUGAAAACCACCAGUCAUUCUUCAUCAUUUGUACAAAAAUCCUUAUAAAAAUGAUAAAAGAAGGUAAUGGAAGCACAGCUC